rnacentral:rRNA from 1 species
UACGUAGGGUGCGAGCGUUGUCCGGAAUUAUUGGGCGUAAAGGGCUCGUAGGCGGUCUGUCGCGUCGGGAGUGAAAACUCAGGGCUUAACCCUGAGCCUGCUUCCGAUACGGGCAGACUAGAGGUAUGCAGGGGAGAACGGAAUUCCUGGUGUAGCGGUGGAAUGCGCAGAUAUCGGGAAGAACACCCGUGGCGAAGGCGGCUCUCUGGGACGGUACUGACGCUGAGACGCGAAAGCGUGGGGAGCGAACAGG